rnacentral:rRNA from 1 species
UAUGGAGGGUGCAAACGUUGCUCGGAAUCAUUGGGCGUAAAGCGCACGUAGGCGGCGAAGCAAGUCGGGUGUGAAAGCCCUGGGCUUAAUUUAGGAAGUGUAUUUGAAAUUAUUUCGCUUGAAUCUUGGAGGGGGUCAGAGAAUUUUUGGUGUAGAGGUGAAAUUCGUAGAUAUUGGGAGGAAUACCAGUGGCGAAGGCGCUGACCUGGACGAAGAUUGACGCUGAGGUGCGAAAGCGCGGGGAGCAAACAGG